GACGAACGCUGGCGGCGUGCUUAACACAUGCAAGUCGAACGCUGAAGCUCAGCUUUUGUUGGGUGGAUGAGUGGCGAACGGGUGAGUAACACGUGAGUAACCUGCCUCCUUCUUUGGGAUAACGCCCGGAAACGGGUGCUAAUACUGGAUAUUCACUGGUCUUCGCAUGGGGGUUGGUGGAAAGGGUUUUUCUGGUGGGGGAUGGGCUCGCGGCCUAUCAGCUUGUUGGUGGGGUGAUGGCCUACCAAGGCUUUGACGGGUAGCCGGCCUGAGAGGGUGAACGGUCACAUUGGGACUGAGAUACGGCCCAGACUCGUACGGGAGGCAGCAGUGGGGAAUAUUGCACAAUGGGAGCAAGCCUGAUGCAGCGACGCCGCGUGAGGGAUGGAGGCCUUCGGGUUGUGAACCUCUUUCGCUAAUGGUCAAGCCGCAACAAUGGUUGUGGUGAGGGUAGUGGGUAAAGAAGCGCCGGCUAACUACGUG
rnacentral:rRNA from 1 species